GAUGAACGCUGGCGGCGUGCCUAAUACAUGCAAGUCGAGCGAAUGGAUUGAGAGCUUGCUCUUAUGAAGUUAGCGGCAGACGGGUGAGUAACACGUGGGUAACCUGCCCAUAAGACUAGGAUAACUCCGGGAAACCGGGGCUAAUACCGGAUAACAUUUUGAACCGCAUGGUUCGAAAUUGAAAGGCGGCUUCGGCUGUCACUUAUGGAUGGACCCGCGUCGCAUUAGCUAGUUGGUGAGGUAACGGCUCACCAAGGCAACGAUGCGUAGCCGACCUGAGAGGGUGAUCGGCCACACUGGGACUGAGACACGGCCCAGACUCCUACGGGAGGCAGCAGUGGGGAAUAUUGCACAAUGGGCGCAAGCCUGAUGCAGCAACGCCGCGUGAGGGAUGACGGCCUUCGGGUCGUAAAACUCUGUUGUUAGGGAAGAACAAGUGCUAGUUGAAUAAGCUGACACCUUGACGGUACCUAACCAGAAAGCCACGGCUAACUACGUGCCAGCAGCCGCAGUAA
rnacentral:rRNA from 1 species